CGCUCCCUGGAAUAUUUGCCAGACAGCUUAGACCCCUGAGCCGAUGCGCAUUACCCCCGGAGGUUUUAGUGCUAUGGGCGUGCAUGCCUGCUUGACGGGAAGCCCGAUAUAGCGCGGAAACCACCACCUUGAACCGUUGGGUUCAAGGGCCAUGUUGUCAGCGGUAUUGUGGGGAGCCC
rfam:Oceanicoccus sagamiensis strain NBRC 107125, complete genome.